UAUUUUUUUAAAGCUAAUAUAGAAAACCCUAUUCUGAACACUGAAGCCCACCUUACCCCGCCUCUCUGACUCACAGUAUCUUCCUCUAUUCCUAACAGCACACAGCCACACACAGACCACAGAUCUGGGCGUUUGGAGCUCACCUCGACAUCACCGCCAUCGCAUGCUCAUCGCCAUCGCUGCGCCUGUCUUCUCCUCCCGCGGCUGUGCUUCCCUGCUUCUUUCUCGUCAGAUCUUGUUGUCGUCUGUCCUCGCCAUCACUGAACCUACCGCCCUGCCUCAGUCCUCCAUCUAUGCUCAGCUUCUUGUGUUUCGUCGUGCCUCCCUCGUCUCGUCUCUGCUCGAGCUAUACUUCAUCCUCGCCGUGCCUCUCCCUCCGCCUCUCCUCAAUCUCUGUGGGUGGUUGUUGCUGUUCGUCCCUCGUCGUCUGUGAAUGUUGCCGCCUGCACGCUGACCUGCGUCAUGGAUUUUUCUGUUCGUCUCUGCUCGUUGGUAGACCACCGAAGUUUCUCCUCUAGAUUUCGCAUCAAAGGUAUUGAAUUAUUCUAGUAAUAUAUGUAUGUUACGCACAUUCUAAUUUCGUUAAAAAUAAUAUAAAAGGUAUGCGUGUUUGUUGUGUUAUGUAAAAAAAAUUGAUUGUAACUUUUUGUAUGUCACAUAAAUGAUUUGUGAUUUUGCUUUACGAAUUCAAUAAUCAUAGCACAAAGCCCACACAUAUAUUUUUCGAAGAUCUCUUUGAAAAGUUUUUGAGUUAUUCAUUCUAAUUGCUAUAUUUCUUUGGUUGGUUGAGUUUAGAAGUAUGGAAUAACAAUGAGAGUUGUGUUCGAAAUAUGUAAGUACAUAAAAUAUUGUACAAAAAUUAUAUUCUCAGUAAUUUCCAGAAUAUUUCAAUAUGCACAUCUUCAUAUAUUUUUGUUAAGUAGUUCGGAAUUAAUUGCAUUAUUUAUUGUUUGGGAUCUGUAUUUGUAACUAUGUUGUUCAGGGAUCUAACUGUUUCUGUUUUUUUUUUUUUUGCUGUAUUUCACUUUUUUUUGACCUUCCUAUUGAUUUGAAUUCCUCACGACCUGGCUGAAAGCAUCUGCUGUUUCUUUCGGUAAAGUUUCUCUUGUAGAUCUCGACUAAAAGAUAAUUACUAAUAAACAGUGAAUGAUAGGAAGCAUUGCAUGUCAAGAUGUUGAUAUGAUAGAUAUCUACAUAUAAGGGGUCUUUGGGAAAUAACAUGAUGGCGUUCGCAUUGUCUUCUUCUUAGGCUCUGCAUUUUUGUCUCUUAACAACUCUCCCAUAGAUUCGGAAAGGUUACAGUCUAUAUGAAGGAGGUGGAUGUUGCGAUAUAAUUUUGCCCUAUGAUUUCCUCCUCUGCUCUAUAGUUGCCUGCUGCAGCAUUUUCUCAGUUCUAAUCAUGGCGGCGAUGAAUAGCUUCUCUCUCCGAUCUAAUGAUGACAGAGGUGAAGAUCUUCUAUCAGAACAUGCAGUAGGGUUUACAUUGAUUGAUUUGAUGAUUGUUUGGGAUUAGUGAUCACCGAGGACAAUAGGCUUCACUUCACAGACUGGCUGUAUUUAUGGAUAAGGUGCUCAUCAAUGCAAGCUUUUGUGACAUUAUACACGUUCUCAUUACCAUUCAAAUUACUACUUUUCACAUUAAUCCUUAAUAUCAACUUCAUGUCCAAGGCUGUCUUUAGUACUUUCGGGUAAGAAUUACCAGAAUCAUCCUUCAUUAUGAAUUCUUAAAAUAAUCAAAAGGAUGUUAAUGCUAUGUCUUAAAUGAGGGAUAAACAAAUUGCAAUAUGUUCAUUGUACCUCACUGUAGCUUUCUUUGACUUUGGUUGCACUCAACCCUAAAAUUUGGCUUGCUUCUGUAUCCCACAACACUACACACAUACUUCCAGUUGCAUCAGAAACAUAAGCUUGAAGCUUAUACCGCAAGUCUACCUGAACGGCCUUCUUGUGGCAAUGGUCACACUCAAACAUCUCCUCUAUCUUUUUGCAUUUUUUAUGACAAUACUUGCAAGCUAUGAAGAACCAAUCAUUUCUCCCGACAUCAAAGUCAACAAUCGUACAUAGUAUUCAUUUAAAUCCAACCUAAA